AGGCUCUGCAGUGAAGGAAGGGAAUUAUCAGGAUGACAGGCCUUACUGGAUCCUCAUCAACAUCUUCUACUAUGUCCUGAAGAUUGAUAUUGGAAAAGCAGUUUCCCAUUGAAUCUCAAGUGAAGAGAGAGUGAAGAUGAAAAGGAAGUAGGAUUCACAAGCCCUUGACCCUCAUACUAGACCCAUUACCACCAACAGUACCUUGCACUGGGAUUUCAUCUGCACCAUCAGCUUCUUCAAAGAGAGAGAGGUUGUUGAACUCUGUAUUGAACCAAGGUGCUCUACACAGUAGCCGCAGCUGAGCUCCCAGCAGAUGCCAGCAUCAGUCAUCAUCCA
rnacentral:lncRNA from 1 species